rnacentral:rRNA from 1 species
AGAACGAACGCUGGCGGCAGGCUUAACACAUGCAAGUCGAACGCACUCUUCGGAGUGAGUGGCAGACGGGUGAGUAACGCGUGGGAACGUACCUUUCGGUUCGGAAUAACCCAGGGAAACUUGGGCUAAUACCGGAUACGCCGGAAACGGGAAAGAUUUAUUGCCGAAAGAUCGGCCCGCGUCGGAUUAGCUAGUUGGUGGGGUAAUGGCCUACCAAGGCGACGAUCCGUAGCUGGUCUGAGAGGAUGAUCAGCCACACUGGGACUGAGACACGGCCCAGACUCCUACGGGAGGCAGCAGUGGGGAAUAUUGGACAAUGGGCGCAAGCCUGAUCCAGCAAUGCCGCGUGAGUGAUGAAGGCCUUAGGGUGUAAGCUCUUUACCCGGAUGAUAAUGACAGUACCGGAGAAUAAGCCCGCUAACUCGUGCCAGCAGCCGAC